AAUAAAUUUUUAUGAUUUAUAAAAUUUAAUUUAAAUUUGUUUUACAUGUAAAUUUUAGUGUUAAUUUUUAAUUAUUUUAAUAAUAAUUAUUAAUAUUUGCAGUAAUUUGAAUUAAAAAUUUAAGAAAUUAAGAUUUAGGAAUAUUUUAAUUAUUAACAAAUUUUGUGCCAGCAGUUGCGGUUAUACAAAAAAUAAUUUAAAUUUUACCGGUAUAUAAUAAAUAAUAAUUUUAUUUAAAUUAAAUAUUAAAUUAUUAAGUGAAAUUUUAAUUUAAUUAAAAUUUAUAUUAAUUUUAUGAUUUAUUAAAUUUUAUAAAAAACUAGGAUUAGAUACCCUAUUAUUAAAAAUUAAAUUUAUAAUACUAAAAUAGUAGAUAAUAAUUUAUUGAAACUUAAAUAAUUUGGCGGUAUUUUAGUUCAUUUAGAGGAAUCUGUUUAAUAAUUGAUAAUCCACGAAUAAAUUUACUUAAUUUAUUAUUUUGUAUAUCGUUGUUAAAAAAAUAUUUUUUAAUAAAAAUAAUAUUUAAAAAUUUUUAUAUAAAAUUAAUUCAGAUCAAGAUGCAGAUUAUAAUUAAGAAUAUAAUGGAUUACAAUAAAUAAAUUUAAAUGAAUAAUAUUUUUUAAUAAAUAUUUGAAGGUGGAUUUAAAUGUAAUUUUAAUUAAUUUAUUAAAAUGAUUAUAUAUUAAAAUAUGUACAUAUUGCCCGUCGCUUUCAUUAAUAAAUUGGAAUAAGUCGUAACAAAGUAGAGGUACUGGAAAGUGUUUCUAGAAAGA
rnacentral:ncRNA from 1 species